rnacentral:rRNA from 1 species
GACGAACGCUGGCGGCGUGCUUAACACAUGCAAGUCGAGCGGAAAGGCCCUUUCGAGGGUACUCGAGCGGCGAACGGGUGAGUAACACGUGAGUAAUCUGCCCUUCACUUUGGGAUAACCCCCGGAAACGGGAGCUAAUACCGGAUAUGACCGGCAACCGCAUGGUUUGUUGGUGGAAACUUUUUUGGGUGGGGGAUGUGCUCGCGGCCUAUCAGCUUGUUGGUGGGGUAAUGGCCUACCAAGGCUUUGACGGGUAGCCGGCCUGAGAGGGUGACCGGCCACACUGGGAUUGAGACACGGCCCCGACUCCUACGGGAGGCAGCAGUGGGGAAUAUUGGACAAUGGGCGGAAGCCUGAUCCAGCAACGCCGCGUGAGGGAUGACGGCCUUCGGGUUGUAAACCUCUUUCAGCACCGACGAAGCGUGAGUGACGGUAGGUGCAGAAGAAGGACCGGCCAACUACGUGCCAGCCGCCGCGGUAAAAC